UACAGAGGUCCCAAGCGUUGUUCGGAUUCACUGGGCGUAAAGGGUGCGUAGGUGGCCAGGUAAGUUUGAUGUGAAAGCUCGGAGCUUAACUCCGAAAUGGCAUUGAAUACUAUCUGGCUUGAGGGUCGGAGGGGAGACUGGAAUUCUCGGUGUAGCAGUGAAAUGCGUAGAUAUCCGGAAGAACACCUGAGGCGAAGGCGGCUUGCUGGGCCUGAUCUGACGCUGAGGCGCGAAAGCGUGGGGAGCAAACAGG
rnacentral:rRNA from 1 species